AUGUAUGAAGACUUGCAUAAGAAAGUCAGGAAGUUAAAAAAACUGAGUUACGGCUCAGCAAGCAUAAUAGAAUUUCAGAUGAGACAACUUUCAAUCUCAACCCUUAGUUUUCCUAAUAGAAAUCACACUGGAAGAAGGAGAGAAGUAAAACAACAAGAAAGAUACAAACGAGUACGCAUACCUGAAACUUCGCGGAAAGAUAUACAGAUUUCUCAUUGUUGCAACGGUGUGGAAGGAGCAGCGGACUCGUCUAUGGUAGGUAACACCUUUCAAUCUUUUCCUUUGGCAUAUAAUGUUGCCAUGUUGUUCUUUUGA